rnacentral:pre_miRNA from 1 species
UAGAGAAAAGUUUCUAAUUACCCAUCAUGCACAAAUGUGGUGACUAGAGCCUAUUCUCUUCU